GAGGAGAAUCAUUCGCAAUGGGCGAAAGCCUGACGGUGCGACGCCGCGUGUGGGAUGAAGGCCUUCGGGUUGUAAACCACUGUCAGGAGUAGGGAACGCUGGGGAAGCCAAUAACUUCUCCAGGUGACUAAGGCUCCAAAGGAAGCCACGGCUAACUACGUGCCAGCAGCCGCGGUAAUACGUAGGUGGCAAGCGUUACUCGGAAUCACUGGGCAUAAAGGGUGCGUAGGCGGAUGCGUAAGUCCGGUGUGAAAGCCCUCGGCUCAAACGAGGAAGUGCAUUGGAUACUGCGUGUCUUGAGUGCGGAAGGGGAGAGUGGAACUCUUGGUGGAGCGGUGAAAUGCGUAGAUAUCAAGAGGAACGCCGGUGGCGAAAGCGGCUCUCUGGUCCGUAACUGACGCUGAGGCACGAAAGCUAGGGGAGCAAACGGGAUUAGAAACCCUUGUAGUCC
rnacentral:rRNA from 1 species